AGGACGAACGCUGGCGGCGUGCCUAACACAUGCAAGUCGAACGAGGUCCAUGCAGUGGCAACACUGCGGAAGACCGAGUGGCGAACGGGUGCGGAACACGUGAGCAACCUGCCCCGGAGACCGGAAUAACAGCGGGAAACCGCUGCUAAUACUGGAUACCCCCCACGGACCCGCAUGGGUCUGUGAGGAAAGGAUCCCGCUCCGGGAGGGGCUCGCGGCCUAUCAGCUUGUUGGUGGGGUAAUGGCCUACCAAGGCUCCGACGGGUAGCUGGUCUGAGAGGACGAUCAGCCACACUGGGACUGAGACACGGCCCAGACUCCUACGGGAGGCAGCAGUGGGGAAUCUUGCGCAAUGGGCGAAAGCCUGACGCAGCAACGCCGCGUGGGGGAUGAAUGCCUUCGGGUUGUAAACCCCUUUCAGUGGGAACGAAAUUGACGGUACCCACAGAAGAAGCCCCGGCCAACUACGUGCCAGCAGCCGCGGUAA
rnacentral:rRNA from 1 species